rnacentral:rRNA from 1 species
ACGGAGGGUGCAAGCGUUGUUCGGAAUUAUUGGGCGUAAAGGGCGCGUAGGCGGUUGUUAAAGUCAGAUGGGAAAUACUUCGGCUCAACUGAAGAACGGCAUUUGAAACUUUAUAUCUAGAGUAUGGGAGAGGUAGACGGAAUUCCCGGUGUAGAGGUGAAAUCCGUAGAUAUCAGGAGGAACACCAGUGGCGAAGGCGGUUUCCUGGACUGAUACUGACGCUGAGGUGCGAAAGCGUGGGGAGCAAACAG